rnacentral:rRNA from 1 species
AUGAACGCUGGCGGCGUGCCUAAUACAUGCAAGUCGAGCGAACGGACGAGAAGCUUGCUUUUCUGAUGUUAGCGGCGGACGGGUGAGUAACACGUGGAUAACCUACCUAUAAGACUGGGAUAACUUCGGGAAACCGGAGCUAAUACCGGAUAAUAUUUUGAACCGCAUGGUUCAAAAGUGAAAGACGGUCUUGCUGUCACUUAUAGAUGGAUCCGCGCUGCAUUAGCUAGUUGGUAAGGUAACGGCUUACCAAGGCAACGAUGCAUAGCCGACCUGAGAGGGUGAUCGGCCACAUUGGAACUGAGACACGGUCCAGACUCCUACGGGAGGCAGCAGUAGGGAAUCUUCCGCAAUGGGCGAAAGCCUGACGGAGCAACGCCGCGUGAGUGAUGAAGGUCUUCGGAUCGUAAAACUCUGUUAUUAGGGAAGAACAUAUGUGUAAGUAACUGUGCACAUCUUGACGGUACCUAAUCAGAAAGCCACGGCUAACUACGUG